UUCUAUGGCCAUGCCACCCUGAAUAAGCCCGAUCCCGUCCGAUCUCAGAAGUUAAGCAGAGUUGGGCCUGGUUAGUGCUUGGAUGGGAGACCAGGUGCUAUAGGCU
rnacentral:rRNA from 1 species